rnacentral:pre_miRNA from 1 species
GACACACCAAUAUCAACUUUAUUUGUUCAUUAAUACUUAUAAAGUCAUUACACUAGAAUUUUCUUUGAAAGAAAAUUCUAGUGUAUUGACUUUAUAAGUAUUAAUGGCUUUGGUAUUAAUUAAUGAACAAAUAAAGUUGAUAUUGGUGUGUC